rnacentral:rRNA from 1 species
UGGGGAAUCUUCCGCAAUGGACGAAAGUCUGACGGAGCAACGCCGCGUGAGUGAUGACGGCCUUCGGGUUGUAAAGCUCUGUUAAUCGGGACGAAAGAGCCUUGUGUGAACAAUGCGAGGAAGUGACGGUACCGGAAUAGAAAGCCACGGCUAACUACGUGCCAGCAGCCGCGGUAAUACGUAGGUGGCAAGCGUUGUCCGGAAUUAUUGGGCGUAAAGCGCGCGCAGGCGGAUGCGUAAGUCUAUCUUAAAAGUGCGGGGCUUAACCCCGUGAGGGGAUGGAAACUGGGCAUCUAGAGUAUCGGAGAGGAAAGCGGAAUUCCUAGUGUAGCGGUGAAAUGCGUAGAUAUUAGGAAGAACACCAGUGGCGAAGGCGGCUUUCUGGACGACAACUGACGCUGAGGCGCGAAAGCCAGGGGAGCGAACG